rnacentral:lncRNA from 1 species
UCUACUUCUAUUAGCUGACAUGGUACUUCUCAGUUUGGGGUUCUACCACUGUGUUCAACAGAUUGAGGUGCUCUAGCCUGUUUGAGCGUAGGAUCUUUGGGUCGAGAGAUGUCGACUGCGGUGUGAGCUCUAUAGUAAUUAGUUGCCCAUAGCCAGAUGACUCUGUCCUGCCCCGAACUCUUGCUUCAAUGAUUUGUGGUGGAAGUUGGGCUCCAACUCGUCUGACGAAGUGAUGGUUCGCUAUGGUCGAGAGUUUUCUUCAUCCCAAUGUUGUUGAGGAUGCCUGCACUCAUAGAAUGGAGUUCUUCACACCUUUUCAUACUG